rnacentral:rRNA from 1 species
GAUGAACGCUGGCGGCGUGCCUAAUACAUGCAAGUCGAGCGAACAGACGAGGCGCUUGCUCCUCUGACGUUAGCGGCGGACGGGUGAGUAACACGUGUAUAACCUACCUAUCAGACUGGGAUAACUUCGGGAAACCGGAGCAUAUCCCGGAUGAUAUCUUGAACCGCAUGGUUGAAUAGUGAAAUACGGCUUUGCUGUCUCUUCUCGCUGGAUCCGCGCCGCAUUAGCUAGUUGGUAGGGUAACGGCUUACCAAGGCUACGAUGCGUAUCCGACCUGAGAGGGGGGUCGGCGACCCUGGAAGUGAGACACGGUCCUGGCGCCUACGGGACGCAGCAGUAUGGAAUCUUCCGCAGUGGGCGAAAACCUGACGCAGCGACGGCGCGUGAGUGAUGAAGGUCUUCGGAUCGUAAAACUCUCUUAUUGGGUAAGAACAAAUGUGGAAGUAGCUAUACACGUCUUGACGGUACCGAGUCAGAAAGCCCCGGCUAACUACGUG